rnacentral:rRNA from 1 species
UACGGAGGGAGCUAGCGUUGUUCGGAAUUACUGGGCGUAAAGCGCGCGUAGGCGGCUUUGUAAGUUAGAGGUGAAAGCCCGGGGCUCAACCCCGGAAUUGCCUUUAAGACUGCAUCGCUUGAAUCCAGGAGAGGUGAGUGGAAUUCCGAGUGUAGAGGUGAAAUUCGUAGAUAUUCGGAGGAACACCAGUGGCGAAGGCGGCUCACUGGUCCGGUACUGACGCUGAGGUGCGAAAGCGUGGGGAGCAAACAGG